UACAUAGGGGGCAAGCGUUAUCCGGAUUUAUUGGGUGUAAAGGGUGCGCAGACGGAGAAGCAAGUUGGUUGUGAAAUCCCUCGGCUCAACUGAGGAACUGCAACCAAAACUACUUCCCUUGAGUGUCGGAGAGGAAAGUGGAAUUCCUAGUGUAGCGGUGAAAUGCGUAGAUAUUAGGAGGAACACCAGUGGCGAAGGCGACUUUCUGGACGAUAACUGACGUUCAUGCACGAAAGUGUGGGGAGCAAACAGG
rnacentral:rRNA from 1 species